AUAUCGACAAAUUAUGACCCAAAAUCGAAGCUUUUGGGGUCGAAAUGUCAAAAUCCAGGAGACUCCAGGACUGAUUCACAAAUCUCGAUGGAUUCUGACCAAAAAUUGGAACUUUUGGGGUCGAAAUUUCAAUGUGCUGAAGAUUCCAGGGCUAAUUCAGAAAUCUCAGCAGAUUCCAGCCCGAGAUUCCAAGGAUCGACGGAUUCUGACCCAAAAUCGAAGGCCGUGACGUCACCGUUUCAAACUCCAGAGGAUUCCAGGACUGAUUCACAAAUAUCGACGGAUUCUGACCCAAAAUCAGAACCUUUGAGGCCAAAAUUUCAAAAUCUGGAAGAUUCCAGCCUGAACUUCCACAUCCCAGCAGGUUCCAGCCCAAAAUCCCAAAAAUCAACGGAUUCUGACCCAAAAUCUGAAUUUUUGGGGUCAAAAUUUCAAAUUCCAGCAGAUUCCAGGACAAAAUCCCCAAAUCCAGCAGAUUCCAGCCUGGAAUUCCAAAUAUCGACGGAUUCUCACCCAAAAUCAGAACUUUUGGAGCCAAAACCCCAAAAUCUGACGGAUUCUGACCCAAAAUCCCAAAAUCCAUCGGGAAUUCCUGGGAGGGGCAGCAGGAGGAGAAAAAUCCCAGCGGGAAACGCCCGAAAAUCCCAAAAAAUGGGAAAAUUCCAGCCUGGAAAUGAUGAAAAUCCUGAAAAUCCCCAGAAUUCACCAGAAACUCCUCAAAUCCCUGUGGAAAAUUCGGGAAUUCCGGCCAAAAAAUGCAGGAAUUCGGAUUUAUGGGAAAAUUCCCAGAUUUCAGCAGGAACCUCUGGGAAUUCCCAAAAUACGUUGGGAAAUGCGGAAAUUUUGGGGCAAAGCCCUGGAAAUUCCCAAAUUUUAUUGAGAAACUCCCAAAAUCUCCAAACUCGUUCAGAAAACUCCAAAAUUUUAUUGGAAAAUUCCCCAAAUUCCCAAAUUUUAUCAAAAAGUUCCCAAACUCCUUCAGAAAAUCCCCAAAAUCCCCAAAUCCCCUCGGGUCCCUCCCUCCCCCAACUCCCACAUUUCCCAAAUUUCUCUGAAUUCCCGCAUUUCCAAAAUCCCCCGGAAAAUUCCCCGAAAGUUUUUUCCGAGUUCCAAAACCUCCAAAAAAAUCUCCAAAAAGAAUUCCAGGAAAAUUUCCCUGAAAUCCCGA
rnacentral:lncRNA from 1 species